AUAGAUAAGUUGGAAGUGAAAUCCUAUGGCUUAACCAUAGAACUGCUUCCAAAACUGUCUAUCUAGAAUAUGGGAGAGGUAGAUGGAAUUUCUGGUGUAGGGGUAAAAUCCGUAGAGAUCAGAAGGAAUACCGAUUGCGAAGGCGAUCUACUGGAACAUUAUUGACGCUCAGAUGCGAAAGCGUGGGGAGCAAACAGGAUUAGAUACCCUGGUAGUCCACGCCCUAAACGAUGCACACUAGUUGUUGCCUUGCUAGACAAGGCAGUAAUGCAGUUAACACAGUAAGUGUGCCGCCUGGGGAGUACGGUCGCAAGAUUAAAACUCAAAGGAAUAGACGGGGACCCGCACAAGCGGUGGAGCAUGUGGUUUAAUUCGACGAUACGCGAAGAACCUUACCUGGCCUUGACAUAGAGAGAACUUACUAGAGAUAGUUUGGUGCUAGCUUGCUAGAACUUUCAUACAGGUGCUGCACGGCUGUCGUCAGCUCGUGUCGUGAGAUGUUGGGUUAAGUCCCGCAACGAGCGCAACCCUCGUGUUUAGUUAAUAACGGUUCGGCCGAUGACUCUAAACAGACUGCCUGGGUAACCAGGAGGAAGGUGAGGACGACGUCAAGUCAUCAUGGCCCUUACGGCCAGGGCUACACACGUGCUACAAUGGGGUAUACAAAGAGCAGCAAUACC
rnacentral:rRNA from 1 species